AGAGUUUGAUCAUGGCUCAGAAUCAACGCUGGCGGCGCGCUUAACACAUGCAAGUCGAACGAGAAAGCAGGAGCAAUCCUGUGAGUACAGUGGCGUACGGGUGAGUAACACGUGGAUUAUCUGCCCUGGAGUGGGGAAUAACGCUGGGAAACCGGCGCUAAUACCGCAUAUUCCCGAGAGGGGAAAGCAGCAAUGCGCUCGAGGAGGAGUCCGCGGCUGAUUAGCUAGUUGGUAGGGUAACGGCCUACCAAGGCUAUGAUCGGUAGCCGGCCUGAGAGGGCACACGGCCACACUGGCACUGAAACACGGGCCAGACUCCUACGGGAGGCAGCAGUGGGGAAUCUUGCACAAUGGGGGCAACCCUGAUGCAGCGACGCCGCGUGAGCGAUGAAGCCCUUCGGGGUGUAAAGCUCUUUCGGCAGGGAAGAUUAUGACGGUACCUGCAGAAGCAGCUGCGGCUAACUACGUGCCAGCAGCCGCGGUAAUACGUAGGCAGCAAGCGUUGUUCGGAGUUACUGGGCGUAAAGGGUGUGUAGGCGGCCUUCUAAGUUUGGUGUGAAAUCUCCCGGCUCAACCGGGAGGGUGCGCCGAAGACUGGGGGGCUAGAGUGCGGGAUGGGAGAGUAGAAUUCCUGGUGUAGCGGUGAAAUGCGUAGAUAUCAGGAGGAAUACCUGUGGUGUAGACGGCUCUCUGGACCGCAACUGACGCUGAGACACGAAAGCGUGGGUAGCAAACAGGAUUAGAUACCCUAGUAGUCC
rnacentral:rRNA from 1 species